rnacentral:rRNA from 1 species
AGAGUUUGAUCCUGGCUCAGAUUGAACGCUGGCGGCAGGCCUAACACAUGCAAGUCGAGCGGUAGCACAGAGAGCUUGCUCUCGGGUGACGAGCGGCGGACGGGUGAGUAAUGUCUGGGAAACUGCCUGAUGGAGGGGGAUAACUACUGGAAACGGUAGCUAAUACCGCAUAACGUCGCAAGACCAAAGUGGGGGACCUUCGGGCCUCAUGCCAUCAGAUGUGCCCAGAUGGGAUUAGCUAGUAGGUGGGGUAACGGCUCACCUAGGCGACGAUCCCUAGCUGGUCUGAGAGGAUGACCAGCCACACUGGAACUGAGACACGGUCCAGACUCCUACGGGAGGCAGCAGUGGGGAAUAUUGCACAAUGGGCGCAAGCCUGAUGCAGCCAUGCCGCGUGUAUGAAGAAGGCCUUCGGGUUGUAAAGUACUUUCAGCGGGGAGGAAGGCGAUAAGGUUAAUAACCUUGUCGAUUGACGUUACCCGCAGAAGAAGCACCGGCUAACUCCGUGCCAGCAGCCGCGGUAAUACGGAGGGUGCAAGCGUUAAUCGGAAUUACUGGGCGUAAAGCGCACGCAGGCGGUCUGUCAAGUCGGAUGUGAAAUCCCCGGGCUCAACCUGGGAACUGCAUUCGAAACUGGCAGGCUAGAGUCUUGUAGAGGGGGGUAGAAUUCCAGGUGUAGCGGUGAAAUGCGUAGAGAUCUGGAGGAAUACCGGUGGCGAAGGCGGCCCCCUGGACAAAGACUGACGCUCAGGUGCGAAAGCGUGGGGAGCAAACAGGAUUAGAUACCCUGGUAGUCCACGCCGUAAACGAUGUCGAUUUGGAGGUUGUGCCCUUGAGGCGUGGCUUCCGGAGCUAACGCGUUAAAUCGACCGCCUGGGGAGUACGGCCGCAAGGUUAAAACUCAAAUGAAUUGACGGGGGCCCGCACAAGCGGUGGAGCAUGUGGUUUAAUUCGAUGCAACGCGAAGAACCUUACCUGGUCUUGACAUCCACAGAACUUAGCAGAGAUGCUUUGGUGCCUUCGGGAACUGUGAGACAGGUGCUGCAUGGCUGUCGUCAGCUCGUGUUGUGAAAUGUUGGGUUAAGUCCCGCAACGAGCGCAACCCUUAUCCUUUGUUGCCAGCGGUUAGGCCGGGAACUCAAAGGAGACUGCCAGUGAUAAACUGGAGGAAGGUGGGGAUGACGUCAAGUCAUCAUGGCCCUUACGACCAGGGCUACACACGUGCUACAAUGGCAUAUACAAAGAGAAGCGACCUCGCGAGAGCAAGCGGACCUCAUAAAGUAUGUCGUAGUCCGGAUUGGAGUCUGCAACUCGACUCCAUGAAGUCGGAAUCGCUAGUAAUCGUAGAUCAGAAUGCUACGGUGAAUACGUUCCCGGGCCUUGUACACACCGCCCGUCACACCAUGGGAGUGGGUUGCAAAAGAAGUAGGUAGCUUAACCUUCGGGAGGGCGCUUACCACUUUGUGAUUCAUGACUGGGGUGAAGUCGUAACAAGGUAGCCGUA